rnacentral:misc_RNA from 1 species
GAUGAAGAACGCAGCGAAAUGCGAUACGUAAUGUGAAUUGCAGAAUUCAGUGAAUCAUCGAAUCUUUGAACGCAUAUUGCGCUCUCUGGUAUUCCGGAGAGCAUGCUUGUUUGAGUAUCAGUAAACACCUCAACUCCCUUUUCUUUUUUGAAAUGGGAGCUGGACUUGAGUGAUCUCAACACUUUUCUCACUGGAAAGUGGCGGGUCACUUGAAAUGCAGGUGCAGCUGGACUUUUCUCUGAGCUAUAAGCAUAUCUAUUUAGUCUGCCUAAAAAACAGAUUAUUACCUUUGCUGCAGCUAACAUAAAGGAGAUGAGUUCUUGUGCUGACUGAUGCAGGAUUCACAGAGACAGCUUUGCGGCUGACUUUGUAAACUCGAUCUCAAAUCAAGUAAGACUACCCGCUGAACUUAAGCAUAUCAAUAAGCGGAGGA